rnacentral:lncRNA from 1 species
AUUCAGCUGGCCCGCUGCUUCCUAUCUUUGUACGGGAAGAGCUAAGUGCAUACAAAGCCCUGAUGAAUAGAGGCCUGCGCAGAGUGCCUGGGGUGCAAGGCAGCAGGGCAGCCAGUGAACCACUGAGUUCGCACUGUGGCCAGUCCUGUGUGCCCCUGCUGGAUUCUACUUCUAUGAGGGAGGCAGCAAGGAGUUGGGACUUCACAGGUGAAAGGACUUGCCAGGUUUUGUUCAGGUUUAGCACAAGCUGUGAUGAAUAUCUUCAAGCCUCUGCUUCCUGCUGUGGAAUUGUUGCCAAAGGACACAUUCCCAGAUGGGAUUACUGAGUCAGAGGAAGUGGACAUUGAGUGGCUCUCAACAGACAGGCUGUGUUGCUCUCACAGUGCCCAGCUUCCCAUGGGUGGCCAGCCGAAUGCAUUAUGGGAGAAAGCAGGUCUCGUGGAUAAUAUUUCUGAAGAUCAGAGCAGGUUGUGUCGGGUCCACGUUGGCCAUGACUGCAGCAUGCUCCGGAGGCAGCAGGGGGCACCCUGGAGCUUCGCAUCCUCCCUCAGGCCCGCGGCAUCUCCCCUGGCUCCACCAUCCCCAGGUGUCUCAGGCCUGUUUCCUCCUCAUGAGAGGUGGAGCAGUGGUUCCCAAACAUGAUGUGGGAAGUGUGUUAAAAUGCAGAUCCUGGGCUCGACUCUGAAGCUCUCCCAGCAUCCACCUUCCCAGGUGACCAGACUCUUGGGAAGGCAUCACCUCAAGACUCCUGCACCCUUCCUCCAGAGUCCUGGGAUUAAGCUAAAUCCUGGGAAGGUGCCUGCCUCCCUUGGGCCUCCCUGCUGCGCCUGGCCACGUGGAAACCCCUGUAGCUCCCUGGCUGUGCAGGAGCAGCCACAGUGUGCCCCUCCCAGGACCACCAUCCCCCUCACUGUCUCUGAGGCACCUGCGUGGACCGGGUCUGGAUUGAGUCUCAUUUCUCUGGAUUCCCACGGCAGCUGGCGGCUGCCUCUCCCACACCCGUCACUCUGUGUCAUGGAAAGCUGUGUGUUUGUCUUCAUUCCCACCGAGUCUGAGCCACUCGAGGUCAGGGCCAUGACCGUGAGCUGCACGUCCUCAGUGCCCAGUGUGAGCCGUGUACAGUAGAGGCUGACUGACGUCUUGGAGGCAGAA